AAAUUGAAGAGUUUGAUCAUGGCUCAGAUUGAACGCUGGCGGCAGGCCUAACACAUGCAAGUCGAACGGUAACAGGAAGCAGCUUGCUGCUUUGCUGACGAGUGGCGGACGGGUGAGUAAUGUCUGGGAAACUGCCUGAUGGAGGGGGAUAACUACUGGAAACGGUGGCUAAUACCGCAUAACGUCGCAAGACCAAAGAGGGGGACCUUCGGGCCUCUUGCCAUCAGAUGUGCCCAGAUGGGAUUAGCUAGUUGGUGAGGUAACGGCUCACCAAGGCGACGAUCCCUAGCUGGUCUGAGAGGAUGACCAGCCACACUGGAACUGAGACACGGUCCAGACUCCUACGGGAGGCAGCAGUGGGGAAUAUUGCACAAUGGGCGCAAGCCUGAUGCAGCCAUGCCGCGUGUAUGAAGAAGGCCUUCGGGUUGUAAAAGUACUUUCAGCGGGGAGGAAGGUGUUGUGGUUAAUAACCGCAGCAAUUGACGUUACCCGCAGAAGAAGCACCGGCUAACUCCGUGCCAGCAGCCGCGGUAAUACGGAGGGUGCAAGCGUUAAUCGGAAUUACUGGGCGUAAAGCGCACGCAGGCGGUCUGUCAAGUCGGAUGUGAAAUCCCCGGGCUCAACCUGGGAACUGCAUUCGAAACUGGCAGGCUUGAGUCUUGUAGAGGGGGGUAGAAUUCCAGGUGUAGCGGUGAAAUGCGUAGAGAUCUGGAGGAAUACCGGUGGCGAAGGCGGCCCCCUGGACAAAGACUGACGCUCAGGUGCGAAAGCGUGGGGAGCAAACAGGAUUAGAUACCCUGGUAGUCCACGCCGUAAACGAUGUCUACUUGGAGGUUGUGCCCUUGAGGCGUGGCUUCCGGAGCUAACGCGUUAAGUAGACCGCCUGGGGAGUACGGCCGCAAGGUUAAAACUCAAAUGAAUUGACGGGGGCCCGCACAAGCGGUGGAGCAUGUGGUUUAAUUCGAUGCAACGCGAAGAACCUUACCUGGUCUUGACAUCCACAGAAGAAUCCAGAGAUGGAUUUGUGCCUUCGGGAACUGUGAGACAGGUGCUGCAUGGCUGUCGUCAGCUCGUGUUGUGAAAUGUUGGGUUAAGUCCCGCAACGAGCGCAACCCUUAUCCUUUGUUGCCAGCGGUUAGGCCGGGAACUCAAAGGAGACUGCCAGUGAUAAACUGGAGGAAGGUGGGGAUGACGUCAAGUCAUCAUGGCCCUUACGACCAGGGCUACACACGUGCUACAAUGGCGCAUACAAAGAGAAGCGACCUCGCGAGAGCAAGCGGACCUCAUAAAGUGCGUCGUAGUCCGGAUUGGAGUCUGCAACUCGACUCCAUGAAGUCGGAAUCGCUAGUAAUCGUGGAUCAGAAUGCCACGGUGAAUACGUUCCCGGGCCUUGUACACACCGCCCGUCACACCAUGGGAGUGGGUUGCAAAAGAAGUAGGUAGCUUAACCUUCGGGAGGGCGCUUACCACUUUGUGAUUCAUGACUGGGGUGAAGUCGUAACAAGGUAACCGUAGGGGAACCUGCGGUUGGAUCACCUCCUUA
rnacentral:rRNA from 1 species